rnacentral:tRNA from 1 species
GGUAGAUUAGUUAAAGGAUAUAACAUUUGAUUUCGGCUCAAAAAUUCGUGGUUCAACCCCACAAUCAACCU